GAUGAACGCUGGCGGCGUGCCUAACACAUGCGAGUCGAACGGAGAUUACGGACGGAAGUUUUCGGAUGGAAGCCUGUAAUUCUUAGUGGCGGACGGGUGAGUAACGCGUGGGCAACCUGCCCUAUACAGGGGGAUAGCAGCUGGAAACGGCUGGUAAGACCGCAUAAGUCGGUUAAAUCGCAUGAUUUGAUCGGGAAAUGAGCAAUCAGGUAUAGGAUGGGCCCGCGUCCGAUUAGCCAGUUGGCAGGGUAAAAGCCUACCAAAGCGACGAUCGGUAGCCGGACUGAGAGGGCGGACGGCCACAUUGGGACUGAGACACGGCCCAAACUCCUACGGGAGGCAGCAGUGGGUGAUAUUGCACAAUGGAGGAAACUCUGAUGCAGCGACGCCGCGUGAGUGAAGAAGUAUUUCGGUAUGUAAAGCUCUAUCAGCAGGGAAGAUGAUGACGGUACCUGACUAAGAAGCCCCGGCUAACUACGUG
rnacentral:rRNA from 1 species